CCUACGGGAGGCAGCAGUGGGGAAUAUUGGACAAUGGGCGAAAGCCUGAUCCAGCCAUGCCGCGUAUGUGAAGAAGGCCUUUUGGUUGUAAAGCACUUUAAGCGAGGAGGAGGCUACUUAGAUUAAUACUCUAGGAUAGUGGACGUUACUCGCAGAAUAAGCACCGGCUAACUCUGUGCCAGCAGCCGCGGUAAU
rnacentral:rRNA from 1 species